AUCAGCGUCUCACAUGACUGAAAGAAAAGCCAUCAUAAUCUGCAGUUACCUUAUCUGCUCCCGAUCCUGGUUUCACUUUGUCUUAUUCCCACGCAUGUUUCACUUUAGGUCUCAGUUUGGCUUUGCUCAUCACCUUGAGUGUGUUCAUUUGUCCUCUGUGUAACGAUGUAUAAAGCUCACAUUGUAAGGCUCUGGAUCGGGAAAGGGUUAAUUCAUCCUUUCUUCCAUUCCGUCUUUCAUUUUUCUUUCUUUCCUUGAAUGAGUUUAAUCUGGGCCAUGGCUUCAUUAGUAUUCUGAGGAGUUCAUGAGGCAGCCCAGAUCAUCACUCCUCCUCCACCGUGUCUGACUGUUGCAAUGAGCAGUUUCUCGGAGCAUCACCUGGUCUUGCGUACCUGGACGGCCACGCCUCAGAGGAUUACACACUAAAUUUUCCACACACUGUAGAAUAUGAGACACCUGUUGUUUGUAAAUGGCCUUGUAACCCUUUUUGCAGCACCUUUGGUUUAUAUGAGGCCAUUACUUCUUCCUCACCAGAGCAUUUCUUGGAAGAGAGGAACAAGCUUGUUAUCAAAUACCAAAAUGAUGUGAGACCUGAUGGCUCACGGUAUCUGAUGAGGACAUUCCUCAGGCAGAAAAAUGCUAUCAAAGCACACGUUUAUCCAAAACCGCUCUGUUAUGGUGUGUGAAACUAAAGUGUUAUGAAUAGAUGCCACUUAGAGAGAAAGUGGAAAGAAAGAAAAACAAUUUCUAGAAACUGUGCAGCUGAAUAAAUAAACAUUGACUGAAAUCUUUCCGUUUCUUUGCACAAGCACAGUGUAAAAAUGCAUAAAAGGUAUCGUUGUCUACACAUAAAAUUGAUUUCGGUUACUCUUGGCUCACAUCUCUCAAGUGUCAACAACAAAAAACAACAUUUAAAAACGCCUAACAGUAUCAAACAAAAUAACGGAAAAAAGUAAAGGUUCAAACCUGAUUCUAAGAUGUGAACUUAUGGAUUCCUUAUAAUCAGGUCAGGGGGGUGUUGUUACAGUGCAGCUCUAAUAGGUGUCCCUGCUCAGCUGACAAAACAAAACCAACCAAUCAGAGAGCAGGUCAACAUUUGUAGAGGAAAUAAAACACCAAAAGGUCCAAAAGCUCACCGAAAACAACCUAACUGGCCAACUGGACAAAAACACCCACAUACCCAGAACCCGGAGACACAGAGAGAAACCUUACUGAACCUACACUGACCUCCUGUUGGGAUAGUUACUUUACAACAAACCCAGAUGUGUUUUCUUUGCUUAUGCUGGAAUUUAUUUAUGCGCUGAAUUUUUAUUUGUGGUAUCAAAGUAAAUGAAGCUGAACAGACAAAUGCACACUUGUCCAAUUUAGAUUUG